GAUGAACGCUGGCGGCGUGCCUAACACAUGCAAGUCGAGCGGACAGACGAGGAUCUUGCUCCUCUGCCGUUAGCGACGGACGGGUGAGUCCCACGUGGAUAACCUACCUAUAAGAAUGGGAUACCUAAGGGAACCCUGAGAUAACACCGGAUAAUAUAUUGAACCGCAUGGUUCAAUAGUGAAAGACGGUUUUGCUGACCCUUAUAGAUGUUACCGCGCCGCUUUAGUUAGUUGGUACGGUAACGACUUACCAAGACGACGAUGCGUAGCCGACCUGAGAGGGUGAUCGGCGACACUGGAACUGAGACACGGUCCAGACUCCUACGGGAGGCAGCAGUAGGGAAUCUUCCGCAAUAGGCGAAAGCUUGACGGAGCAACGCGGCGUGAGUGAUGAAGGUCUUCGGAUCGUGAAACACUGUUAUUAGGGAAGAACAAAUGUGUAAGUAACUAUGCACGUCUUGACGGUACCUAAUCAGAAAGCCACGGCUAACUACGUG
rnacentral:rRNA from 1 species